rnacentral:lncRNA from 1 species
GGCAGGUUGUGGAUGAUACCAGAACAGAGAGAGGACCAGGCCAGAACUAUGAGCCCAGGAACUAGCUAAGAAGGAGGAUUCUACCUCACCUGACACUUGCCCCAGAUGGUACAUAUGGCUGCAGGAUGUAGGAGCACUGAUGGCCCACCGGACUCCAUGAACAAAGAGACCUUUUUGCUGUUAAGCUGCUGCACUGAGUCUGGGCUUUCUUGUUGUGGCAACGAGCAUCGCUGAGCUGUAACUAAGCUCAUGUCUUUUGAGGUCAUUUUCAGAGAAUCUAAAUAGAGGAAGUGCAUUUUCCCCGAUCAACUGACAUGCACAUUAUGCACAUUCAGCUCUGCACUUCUGCUCAGGAUUUGGGAUUUGGAAAUUUGUUCAAAUGACAGAGAUGUCCUCACCUGUGUCCCCACCCCAUGUCAUAGUCUUCUGAGCCUGCUGAACCAUUGGCACCACUGAGCACUUUACAGAGGCUGAACAGAGCAGCAGUUUCUGUUUUCCAUGAGCUCUUGGUCUCAAGUUUCUGGCAGAUGGUGGCCAGGGUUUCUCAGGCCAAUGUUCUUGGAUGAAUGCACGCUGCUGACUCUCUGGAACCCUCAUUUGGUGACACAUGCUAUUUUCAUGAAAUGGUACGUUUAUACGCACACUUCCCAGUAUAAGGAGAGCAGGUCAGGAUGGAGUCAAAGACGGGUUCUUCAAUAUAAAGGGGCCACCCAGGGCAUUUGGUUGAAGCAAGCAUCCUUAAAGUCCAGGAAAUCCCGAAGCUGGAUUCUGAUAAAGACCCAUGCUGCCCUUCUCCAAGCCGGGGACCUGGAAAUCUGAAUUCAGAUACUCGUAUUUGCCUCUAACGGGGAUUUUGGAUUAUAUUUGCUGUGGGGAGAGAAAAAGAGCUUAUUUCAAGUUGGCCGCUUAAUGUUCACGGCAACCAGGGAGAAACAACUACUUACUUGAAUCUUUUCUCGUCCUGUCCACCUCCUCAUGGUAUGACCUUGACUAUGAUCUCCUAGGCCAGUGUGGGAGAUAUUCCUUAAAUUGCAGAGGAUUUUGGGAAAGUGGAUGGAUGGGAAGAACCCUUUGAAAAUGUCACGAAGAGAUGCCUCCACAGGAAGCAUGCUGCUGCCAUGAAUUUUCAGGCCACUGGUGGCUGACUUAGUUCUCAUCAUCUUUAUUUGAGU